rnacentral:tRNA from 1 species
GGAGGAGUACCCAAGUGGCUGAAGGGGACGGUUUGCUAAAUCGUUAGAUCGGAGAAAUCCGGUGCGAGAGUUCGAAUCUCUCCUCCUCCGCCA